UAGGGAAUCUUCGGCAAUGGACGAAAGUCUGACCGAGCAACGCCGCGUGAGUGAAGAAGGUUUUCGGAUCGUAAAACUCUGUUGUUUGAGAAGAACAAGGACGUUAGUAACUGAACGUCCCCUGACGGUAUCUAACCAGAAAGCCACGGCUAACUACGUGCCAGCAGCCGCGGUAAUACGUAGGUGGCAAGCGUUGUCCGGAUUUAUUGGGCGUAAAGCGAGCGCAGGCGGUUUCUUAAGUCUGAUGUGAAAGCCCCCGGCUCAACCGGGGAGGGUCAUUGGAAACUGGGAGACUUGACUGCAGAAGAGGAGAGUGGAAUUCCAUGUGUAGCGGUGAAAUGCGUAGAUAUAUGGAGGAACACCAGUGGCGAAGGCGGCUCUCUGGUCUGUAACUGACGCUGAGGCUCGAAAGCGUGGGGAGCAAACAGG
rnacentral:rRNA from 1 species